rnacentral:lncRNA from 1 species
AACAAUACCACUCUUCUCCCUAUCUCCGAUUAGAUAGCCAAGAGCUAAUGUUGACUGUCUACCACCUAUCUGAAGACUCCACCUCAAACUGAGUUUCCACCAAAGUAUACCACCAUGAUCUCCACCUUGUAACACGCAAGACCUCUUCAACUCCUCUGAAACAUACUUCAAGUUAUUGUUAGUCCAACAAUUCCAGUUCAGUUCAACACCUAGUAAACCUUGUUCACUAGUCCAACUAAACUCAUGUCACUAACAGGUCCACCCGAAGUCCCGCAACUCAACCACAUUAUGAGAGUCACCACUAGUUAUAGAUGCAUGACCAACUAUCUUUGCAUCUAAGUUCAGAAACAUACCUCACAUUGUGUAAAGAAACUCACGAUUGUCAAACUUCGUAAGACAAACUGAACCCAUACCUUGAACCUUCAAGCUUUCCGUUUUCAAGAUGAACAACUCCACCUUCAACUAGCUCUAGAGUCUCAAAGUAUUCAUUCUUUGAACACAUGUGAAAAGAGCAUCCGACGUCCAUGACUCAACACUCCACCGGUUCCCAACUUCCACUAGCACCUCCGCAUCCUCAUAAUAAAGUUAUUGUUUCAGAAGUAACCAGAGUAUUAUUACCACCGCCUCUCCAGGCCGACCUUCUUCGCAAUCUCCAUUAACUCUUUAUCUUCGAGGCACCGGGUAACGACACUCNNNNNNNNNNNNNNNNNNNNUUCACUUUCCACAAUUCCAAAUUGCUUUCGGAAAGUCCUCGAUAUCCGACUUAUAACCCAUGGUGCUCGCUUCAAAUUGUUCCAAUUGCCCCACGGUGGGCGCCAAUUGUUGUGAAUUCGUCUUAAAAUCACACCAAUGAAUAACUUGAUGUGUGGAGCAAUAGAACAGCAACCAAUAAUUAAGCAGAAUAAGCAAUAAUAAUAAUAACCGAUAAAAGAUAAAGGAGAAGAAAGAACACGAUAAUUUGUUUACCCAGUUCGGUCCAAUAAUGACCUAGUCUGG